rnacentral:rRNA from 1 species
AUUGAACGCUGGCGGAAUGCUUUACACAUGCAAGUCGAACGGCAGCACGGGGCAACCUGGUGGCGAGUGGCGAACGGGUGAGUAAUACAUCGGAACGUGCCCAAUCGUGGGGGAUAACGUAGCGAAAGUUACGCUAAUACCGCAUACGAUCUACGGAUGAAAGCGGGGGAUCGCAAGACCUCGCGCGAGUGGAGCGGCCGAUGUCAGAUUAGGUAGUUGGUGGGGUAAAGGCUCACCAAGCCAACGAUCUGUAGCUGGUCUGAGAGGACGACCAGCCACACUGGAACUGAGACACGGUCCAGACUCCUACGGGAGGCAGCAGUGGGGAAUUUUGGACAAUGGGCGCAAGCCUGAUCCAGCCAUUCCGCGUGCAGGAUGAAGGCCUUCGGGUUGUAAACUGCUUUUGUACGGAACGAAACGGCGAGCUCUAAUACAGUUUGCUAAUGACGGUACCGUAAGAAUAAGCACCGGCUAACUACGUGCCAGCAGCCGCGGUAAACA